UACAGAGGUCUCAAGCGUUGUUCGGAUUCAUUGGGCGUAAAGGGUGCGUAGGUGGCGUCGUAAGUCGGGUGUGAAAUUUCGGAGCUUAACUCCGAAACGGCAUUGGAUACUAUCUGGCUAGAGGGUCGGAGGGGAGACUGGAAUUCUCGGUGUAGCAGUGAAAUGCGUAGAUAUCGAGAGGAACACCAGUGGCGAAGGCGAGUCUCUGGACGACUCCUGACACUGAGGCACGAAAGCUAGGGGAGCAAACAGG
rnacentral:rRNA from 1 species